rnacentral:rRNA from 1 species
GACGAACGCUGGCGGCGUGCUUAACACAUGCAAGUCGAACGGAAAGGCCCUGCUUUUGUGGGGUGCUCGAGUGGCGAACGGGUGAGUAACACGUGAGUAACCUGCCCUUGACUUUGGGAUAACUUCAGGAAACUGGGGCUAAUACCGGAUAGGAGCUCCUGCUGCAUGGUGGGGGUUGGAAAGUUUCGGCGGUUGGGGAUGGACUCGCGGCUUAUCAGCUUGUUGGUGGGGUAGUGGCUUACCAAGGCUUUGACGGGUAGCCGGCCUGAGAGGGUGACCGGCCACAUUGGGAAUGAGAAACGGCCCAGACUCCUAAGGGAGGCAGCAGGGGGGAAGAAUGCACAAUGGGCGGAAGCCUGAUGCAGGAACGCCGCGUGCGGGAUGACGGCCUUCGGGUUGUAAACCGCUUUCGCCUGUGACGAAGCGUGAGUGACGGUAAUGGGUAAAGAAGCACCGGCUAACUACGUG